AAAGUUUUGCUUCUAGAGUUUUUUUUGAAAAGAUAGUCACCGGCUUAAUCAGCUUGUGCUGAGUUCUAAUUUUUCUUUCAAUUAAACUAAUUCCCACUCAAUUUUACAAACUUUUGACGGUUUAAAGAAUUUUCUGUUGCUUGGAUUCAAUCUAAAUUUCAACUCAAAAUUUGACUUGGUGGCAAUGGUAUGCAUCAGACUGCUGUGCACAGUCUAUAGAUCUGGUGUGUCAUCCUGAAACUCAUAAGCCAGACCUGAAGUGGAAUUGCAUGAAGACUUCUUGAAAUGGUUUAAAAGCCAGGUAAAAUCUCUUCUUCAUUGCUGUCUAACACAACACAUGGUUUUUUGGUUUCGGCCAGCCGGUGCAAGACUGCAAGAUGUUGUCUUUUGUCUAAUCAGGUUCAGCUGUUGCAUGGAGUCUGUGAUGCCGCUGGUGAUCUGACAAAUAUUGUUGUACUUGUUUCUGAUAAGUGUAUUGUUUGAAGUAGUCUAUGAUGUAGACAAGUGCAUAUUAUCUUCUUUUCUGUGACCCUGUUUCCCUUUCUAUGACUAAUCGCUCCCCAGCAAAACUGGUCUAGCACUCCUCUCUUCUUCCUUGUCCAGGUCAUCUCCCUGGGCACAGUCAAUCAAUGUCUCCCCCUGUCUUGAUAGACUGAAUUUUGCAUGGAAAAUUCAACAUUGAUAAUAUUAAGUUAAAGAAGGUAAAAUUGAUAUUUGUGAUAAGGGAUGAUAAACAUGUACAUAAUAGUAUCAAUACGAUUUAAACAGCUGCAUUUUCUUUAUGAAAUUAUUUUAUUAAAAAAUUAUUUAUGUAUAUUACAUAUUUACAUUUCCCAACUUAAUGAUUUGUUUCUUUUCUAAUGUUUUUUUUUUUUUAAAUUGAUUUACAAUAAUAUGUACUGCACCAACCAAUUAAAUUAAACAUAAGAAUCAUAUAAUUUUGUUUGAUGGCAGAGGGCCUGUUGCUUUCUCAACCGCGAUAAUCACACAGCGUUAUUAUUUGUUUGCCGCAGAAAGUUAUUUUAUCUAGCAGUUGUCGAUUGAAUUACUCGUAGAUCAUGAGAUCAGGUUGCUUUGCAGUGCAAUACUGCAAUUACUGCAUGGAUUAGAUUUGAGUGACAGAGUCGGAAAAAAAUUGACAAGACAGACAAAGUAAUGGACAACACAUUGCAUUGUGACACCAAGGGCAGCAACAGCAGCUUCAGCAACAACUUAAAGCACCCCUUUCACCAUCUCCUCAUUAGGCAGCAUCUCAAUUAACAGCGUGAACAUCAAUGGCCGUCAAAACCUUAUACAGAGGAAAAGAAAGAUUUAUCACAAGUUAGGCAAAGUGCAGAGUGACAGGAAUGAAGUUAAAAGUUAAAAAGGUGAUACCGUACGUAAAACCGGUCAAGGUAGCAGUAUACGAUAUUUCGUUACCAAUCUGGAAUCUCUAACAUUUGUAGAAGCAUGUAGCUAUGCACUCUUCAUUGUGGAAGCAUUAUACCUUGGGGAUUUCGUCUGUUGUGAUGUGUGAUGCUGACUGUACGUGGUGGCUUUUUGGUGAAGACGAGAUACAACCUUAAAGGGGAGAUUAUGACGAGGAAAUGUGAAAGGUGCAUGUACUGUCAACUAUUGUGUUAAAAAUCCUGGUAUCAUACUGAAUAUGUCAUCCAAUUGACAGAGUGGUAACAACCAAUGCCAGCUUUAGUAAAGUAUUGCUGGAACAUAGUCUUCUCAUCUUUUAUUAGUAUUCAUCACUGUUAUCGGCUGAAUCAUUCUAUGGGACUUGCCAGAUCACCAGCCCCAGCAUGGAGCAAUCUCUCAUUCCAUCUUCUAGAGAACCUUGGAUAACUGAUUGCUGGUUUCAUGUGUUUUAAAUUACAGGUUUCUCAAUUGGCAGACAGACAGACUUUAUGAGAAAUCAUGUUCUUUCAAGAGAAGGACAAGGACUAUACAGUCAACAAGGUUCCUUGUUUGCUGACCUGUUGGCUGCUACCCUUGAAUCUCCCUUUUUACUUCCUUACAUGGCCCUCUUGAUUUGAGGGCAAUCCUUCGCUACUUGUCAUGGACUUCAUCUUCAUCAUUUUGGUGAAAAUCAACAAGAGAAUGCUAUAAUACAAGAUUAAUAUGUGUAGUUAGAUAAAUUACAAGUGCAUAUCUGGGCUCCCUUCUUUUCUGUGGCUCCGUUUCCCUAAUUAACCAACUAUUCCUCAACUCUUUGCUCUUUUUCCUGUUUCUCUUAACCACUGGCUCCCUGGUCGCAGUCAAUUAAGGCAGUGUCUCCCCCUGCCUUGAUUGGCUGCCUGCAAGUCCUAUAAAUCAAUUCUGGUUGUUGGAUUUUCUAAUUCCACAUUCAGAAUAACACUGUAUGGGACUUGCAAAUAAAGACAAGUUUCGAACCGGACGGUCUGUUAAUUGAA